UACGUAGGGGGCGAGCGUUGUCCGGAGUUACUGGGCGUAAAGCGCACGCAGGCGGUCGUGCACGUUUGGGGUUACAGCUCCCGGCUCAACCGGGAGAGCGCCUCGAAGACGGCAGGACUUGAGGGCCAGAGAGGGACACAGAAUUCCGGGUGGAGUGGUGAAAUGCGUAGAUAUCCGGAGGAAUACCAAAGGCGAAGGCAGUGUCCUGGCUGGUAACUGACGCUGAGGUGCGAAAGCUAGGGGAGCGAACGGG
rnacentral:rRNA from 1 species